rnacentral:rRNA from 1 species
UACGUAGGGUGCGAGCGUUGUCCGGAUUUAUUGGGCGGAAAGAGCUCGUAGGCGGCUCGUCGCGUCGACCGUGAAAACCCGCGGCUUAACUGCGGGCUUGCGGUUGAUACGGGCGGGCUAGAGUUCGGUAGGGGAGACUGGAAUUCCUGGUGUAGCGGUGAAAUGCGCAGAUAUCAGGAGGAACACCGGUGGCGAAGGCGGGUCUCUGGGCCGAUACUGACGCUGAGGAGCGAAAGCGUGGGGAGCGAACAGG